CACAGAACAUAGCACACAAGAGAAGGUGUCUGUCUUUCCUGUGUAAUGGACAGGUUUUGAAUCGUGGGUCCAGAAGGAUUGUCUGUAUUAUAAGGAAUGUCCAUUUGUGCUUUAGCAACUUGAAGCUUCAGUGGAAAGAAUCAGAACACAGAGAAAACUUGCUGCUAGGACAAAAAUGAAGGAAAGAAUCGGCUCAGGAUGGUGAUACCAGGGUUACAGGCUCACAGGCAGAAGGCACUUGGCCUUUCUCAGAUGAGACUUCGGAAUGUGGACUUUAGAGCUAAGCUUUCUGGCCCCCAGAUCUGCACCUGACCUUUGCCACCUCCUCAUCAUCCACUCUGGUCUGCACCCUCUUGACCACGUCUGAGUCUAUUUUGGGGCUGGAUGUCUGCUUCAGCAUUAGGAAAUGGACACAUCUACAGAAUCUCUCAUGGCAACACACCAGGUAAUUUUCUGGGCAAUUUUAUACUUUUAUAAGAAUGAAAGAUGUUUUGAUUCCAAAACAUUCUGUCCUGCUCUUUAAUCAUUUUAGUCUUUUAAAGUAUAUUGUCUUGGAAUGGUUAAGAUGUUUUGCCCAUCAAUUUCUUUGUAACCCAACAAUUUAUAACAAUAUUUCUAAAUUUCCAGAAAAAUGCUAUUGCAUUCUUUCUUUUCUGCAGUUCCUCACCAUUGUCACAGAGCCUAUGUUGGGGAAUUUAGUCAGAGAUUGUCACACAAGAUUUCCUUUAGAAUCACCUGGGAAACUUUCAAAAAUUCCAGAGGCCUGGUAUCACUCCCAGAAAUAUGAUGUAAUUGGUCAGCACAGACUUAGACAUCAGUAAUUUUUAAAGAUUCCAGGUGAUUCUCCCAUGCAGACGGAGAUGAGAAACACUGAAUUAGAUCAUUUCCAGAAGCCACAGAAUAAAAUGUAAACUCUGCUUCCAUUCUUUAGGUAUUGUAAGCUUUGUCCUUUCAACAAGUUAUAUUACUAAAAAUCAACAAACUGAACUCACUAUGAAUGUGUACUCACAGAGUUGUGGCUCCUGAUUCUAUUUAAAGUAUGUUAAAGUAAAAGCAGUUAGAAUGUGAAAUUUUUUUCCCUUGACUGUGCUAAAGAAAUAUUGGUGAGGAAUGUUGUGGCUCAUUUUUUGUUCUUUCUACAUUUUAUUUUGUAAAAAUUUAAAUAUUUAAUCAUGCAAUUCA